GACGAACGUUGGCGGCGUGCUUAAUACAUGCAAGUCAACUGAAGCAGUGGUAGCAAUAUCGCUGUGGAGGUGGCGCACGGGUGAGUAACACGUAGGUAAUCUGCCUUCAGGUCUGGCAUAACUCCGGGAAACCGGGGCUAAUAGCAGAUGAUGCAGCGGCUCGACAUCGAGACAGUUGUUAAAGCUAUGGCGCCUGAAGAUGAGCCUGCGUCUGAUUAGCUAGUUGGCGGGGUAACGGCCCACCAAGGCAACGAUCAGUAGCUGGUCUGAGAGGAUGAUCAGCCACACUGGAACUGAGACACGGUCCAGACUCCGACGGGAGGCAGCAGUAAGGAAUAUUGCUCAAUGGGAGAAAUCCUGAAGCAGCAACGCCGCGUGAGAGACGAAGGGCUUUUGCUUGUAAACCUCUGUAGUGAGAGAAAAAAAUCCCAAUCUUUGGGACAUGAUGGUAUCUCAAAAGUAAGCCCCGGCUAACUACGUG
rnacentral:rRNA from 1 species